UUAAGCGACUAAGCGUACACGGUGGAUGCCCUGGCAGUCAGAGGCGAUGAAGGACGUGCUAAUCUGCGAUAAGCGUCGGUAAGGUGAUAUGAACCGUUAUAACCGGCGAUUUCCGAAUGGGGAAACCCAGUGUGUUUCGACACACUAUCAUUAACUGAAUCCAUAGGUUAAUGAGGCGAACCGGGGGAACUGAAACAUCUAAGUACCCCGAGGAAAAGAAAUCAACCGAGAUUCCCCCAGUAGCGGCGAGCGAACGGGGAGCAGCCCAGAGCCUGAAUCAGUAUGUGUGUUAGUGGAAGCGUCUGGAAAGGCGCGCGAUCCAGGGUGACAGCCCCGUACACAAAAAUGCACAUGCUGUGAGCUCGAUGAGUAGGGCGGGACACGUGGUAUCCUGUCUGAAUAUGGGGGGACCAUCCUCCAAGGCUAAAUACUCCUGACUGACCGAUAGUGAACCAGUACCGUGAGGGAAAGGCGAAAAGAACCCCGGCGAGGGGAGUGAAAAAGAACCUGAAACCGUGUACGUACAAGCAGUGGGAGCACGCUUCGGCGUGUGACUGCGUACCUUUUGUAUAAUGGGUCAGCGACUUAUAUUCUGUAGCAAGGUUAACCGAAUAGGGGAGCCGAAGGGAAACCGAGUCUUAACUGGGCGUUAAGUUGCAGGGUAUAGACCCGAAACCCGGUGAUCUAGCCAUGGGCAGGUUGAAGGUUGGGUAACACUAACUGGAGGACCGAACCGACUAAUGUUGAAAAAUUAGCGGAUGACUUGUGGCUGGGGGUGAAAGGCCAAUCAAACCGGGAGAUAGCUGGUUCUCCCCGAAAGCUAUUUAGGUAGCGCCUCGUGAAUUCAUCUCCGGGGGUAGAGCACUGUUUCGGCAAGGGGGUCAUCCCGACUUACCAACCCGAUGCAAACUGCGAAUACCGGAGAAUGUUAUCACGGGAGACACACGGCGGGUGCUAACGUCCGUCGUGAAGAGGGAAACAACCCAGACCGCCAGCUAAGGUCCCAAAGUCAUGGUUAAGUGGGAAACGAUGUGGGAAGGCCCAGACAGCCAGGAUGUUGGCUUAGAAGCAGCCAUCAUUUAAAGAAAGCGUAAUAGCUCACUGGUCGAGUCGGCCUGCGCGGAAGAUGUAACGGGGCUAAACCAUGCACCGAAGCUGCGGCAGCGACGCUGAUGCGUUGUUGGGUAGGGGAGCGUUCUGUAAGCCUGCGAAGGUGUGCUGUGAGGCAUGCUGGAGGUAUCAGAAGUGCGAAUGCUGACAUAAGUAACGAUAAAGCGGGUGAAAAGCCCGCUCGCCGGAAGACCAAGGGUUCCUGUCCAACGUUAAUCGGGGCAGGGUGAGUCGACCCCUAAGGCGAGGCCGAAAGGCGUAGUCGAUGGGAAACAGGUUAAUAUUCCUGUACUUGGUGUUACUGCGAAGGGGGGACGGAGAAGGCUAUGUUGGCCGGGCGACGGUUGUCCCGGUUUAAGCGUGUAGGCUGGUUUUCCAGGCAAAUCCGGAAAAUCAAGGCUGAGGCGUGAUGACGAGGCACUACGGUGCUGAAGCAACAAAUGCCCUGCUUCCAGGAAAAGCCUCUAAGCAUCAGGUAACAUCAAAUCGUACCCCAAACCGACACAGGUGGUCAGGUAGAGAAUACCAAGGCGCUUGAGAGAACUCGGGUGAAGGAACUAGGCAAAAUGGUGCCGUAACUUCGGGAGAAGGCACGCUGAUAUGUAGGUGAGGUCCCUCGCGGAUGGAGCUGAAAUCAGUCGAAGAUACCAGCUGGCUGCAACUGUUUAUUAAAAACACAGCACUGUGCAAACACGAAAGUGGACGUAUACGGUGUGACGCCUGCCCGGUGCCGGAAGGUUAAUUGAUGGGGUCAGCGCAAGCGAAGCUCUUGAUCGAAGCCCCGGUAAACGGCGGCCGUAACUAUAACGGUCCUAAGGUAGCGAAAUUCCUUGUCGGGUAAGUUCCGACCUGCACGAAUGGCGUAAUGAUGGCCAGGCUGUCUCCACCCGAGACUCAGUGAAAUUGAACUCGCUGUGAAGAUGCAGUGUACCCGCGGCAAGACGGAAAGACCCCGUGAACCUUUACUAUAGCUUGACACUGAACAUUGAGCCUUGAUGUGUAGGAUAGGUGGGAGGCUUUGAAGUGUGGACGCCAGUCUGCAUGGAGCCGACCUUGAAAUACCACCCUUUAAUGUUUGAUGUUCUAACGUUGACCCGUAAUCCGGGUUGCGGACAGUGUCUGGUGGGUAGUUUGACUGGGGCGGUCUCCUCCUAAAGAGUAACGGAGGAGCACGAAGGUUGGCUAAUCCUGGUCGGACAUCAGGAGGUUAGUGCAAUGGCAUAAGCCAGCUUGACUGCGAGCGUGACGGCGCGAGCAGGUGCGAAAGCAGGUCAUAGUGAUCCGGUGGUUCUGAAUGGAAGGGCCAUCGCUCAACGGAUAAAAGGUACUCCGGGGAUAACAGGCUGAUACCGCCCAAGAGUUCAUAUCGACGGCGGUGUUUGGCACCUCGAUGUCGGCUCAUCACAUCCUGGGGCUGAAGUAGGUCCCAAGGGUAUGGCUGUUCGCCAUUUAAAGUGGUACGCGAGCUGGGUUUAGAACGUCGUGAGACAGUUCGGUCCCUAUCUGCCGUGGGCGCUGGAGAACUGAGGGGGGCUGCUCCUAGUACGAGAGGACCGGAGUGGACGCAUCACUGGUGUUCGGGUUGUCAUGCCAAUGGCACUGCCCGGUAGCUAAAUGCGGAAGAGAUAAGUGCUGAAAGCAUCUAAGCACGAAACUUGCCCCGAGAU
rnacentral:rRNA from 1 species